rnacentral:tRNA from 1 species
ACCUCAUAAAAUGAGGAUGGGAUGUUACAGUGGGAAUGGUCGGGAUAGCUCAGCUGGUAGAGCAGAGGACUGAA